CAAUUUGACGUAUGAACAAGCUGCUUGCUAGAAUUUACAAUUUAGUCCAACAAUAUUUGACGCGGGUUCUAGUUAUAAAUUAUAACAACCAAUACCAAUCCUGGAAAUUAUUCAAGGAAAAAUCAGUUUAGCAACGACUGCGAUAUUUACAAAAAUGGUGAAAAUCAGAGAAAAUCAAGGUCCUAUUUUGAAUUUAAAAGAGGCUGAAAAACUCUCAAAUUGAGUUUUGAAGUGACAAGUUUCGUCUAAUUUUUACCUUUCUUCCCGAUUUCUGACCAUUAUUUAUGCGUUUGCCCGAUGGUGGAUUAAAGCACUUAACCCAUUUAUAACCAUUUAUAAGCCUUUAUAACCAUUUAUCUCAAUCAGAGGAUUAUUGUGUGAGAGUUAUCACGUGAAAUCAGUGUGGCUUAUUCUUCGAUUCUCUUUAUAUGGAGAGAAUUUCUAUUUUGAUUUUUUUUCAACUUUUCGAUUUGUGAGGAAAAUUGACUUGUGUUUUCCUCUUAAAAAAAUGAACUUUUCUAAAGCAAGUUAAUUGAAUUUUUUUUUUGAAAAGCUCAAAAUGUAUUGAAAAGCUCAAAACUGAUUGAGAACAUAGAUGUUUAUUGGUAAUUUCAAAAAAAGUCCUCGGAUAUCUGAUAAUACGAAAUUUGUUCUUCAAUCGUGUUUGGAAGCAAAAAAUUAGGACACACAAGAAGUAAGUUGUAACAAAAAUAGUUAUUUCGGCCAAGCUGUAUGUCAAUUUAUUUUUACAAAAUAAGUUGACUUUAAAAAACAUUUGAAAGACUUUUUAGUGGAAAUUUGAGUCUGAUUACAUUUUUAUCACGCUCCUUACUUCUGGUAAAUUAUACUCUUGCUUUAGAAGAAGCUAACUUUUUGAUUAAUUCUUUGAUCAAAUUUCAUUUCAUUCAUACUGUUCCUAAUUUCAAGUUUACAUUAUUGGACUAGUUUUUGUUCAGAGUGCUAUGUAAAUGUUCAGUCAUGUAGCAUGAUUGAAAUAUCCAAAGAAGUAAUUAUCCCCGGAAAAUUUUCCUUAGCCUUCAGAAAUUCAACUCAAGGAACGUGCAUCCAUUUUUGGAUUUCACUUCUAAUUUAAUGCCUUUUUAGACAAAGAGCCAUCCGUUUAUUCCGUGAUUUACUGGAGCGAAAAAAUUCGAAGAAAGUGUCUCUCAAAAUAUGCGCGGCCAUCAGGGCUUUUAGUUGGAUUGUUAAAAUGCCAAAUUGUUCCAGUUCAUUCGUUCUGCGACGAAAAUUUUACCCAAGAUAAUUCGAUUUGACAAUUCUUCCCUGUUGAUAAAUUAUACCCAAAACUUUUCCUUACCUUGCAAGCAAAAUGUAUCUCUUUUGUUUAUGGCAGUUAUUGUUGUUCUUUAUUUUUUUCUCUGUGAGUAAACAAGAAAAAAAUGUCAAAAUACUGAGUUUGGUACCAUUUUUGGGUUGCAAGAAAAACAACGAAAGUUCAGACGAAGUGAAAUUUCUGCGAAACUACGUGGAGCCGAGAUCUUUAUGUGAGUUAUCAUCUUCGGCACUUCAAGGUUUGAACAAAGGAAUUGAAGCUGUGAACAGGGAGAAUUAUCACACCAAUCUUGCCGUUACUCAUCGAGAGACACAGUGCCGUGUGGAUGAAGGAACAAGGCAACUAUUCCAGUUCUUUGCCCAAAUCAACAGCCACUUUUCAAACAACAACCCAACAUCUCCAUCCUCUUCUUCCGACGCUUCUCAGGGUCACCAGAGGUCAUCUUCAGGGGAGUCAAGGUCAACAGAGAUCAGAGGUGGUGCUCUGUAUGUAGUGGGUCCAUUGUGUCCAGGCGUGACUAGACAAG